CCUACGGGAGGCAGCAGUGAGGAAUAUUGGUCAAUGGGCGGGAGCCUGAACCAGCCAAGCCGCGUGAGGGAAGAAGGUACAGCGUAUCGUAAACCUCUUUUGUCAGGGAACAAAGGCGGGGACUAGUCCCCGGAUAAGGGUACCUGAAGAAAAAGCAUCGGCUAACUCCGUGCCAGCAGCCGCGGUAAUACGGAGGAUGCGAGCGUUAUCCGGAUUUAGUGGGUUUAAAGGGUGCGCAGGCGGCCUGUUAAGUCAGCGGUAAAAUCCCGGGGCUCAACCCCGGCGAGCCGUUGAAACUGGCGGGCUGGAGUUGGAGAGAAGUACGCGGAAUGCGCGGUGUAGCGGUGAAAUGCUUAGAUAUCGCGCAGAACCCCGAUUGCGAAGGCAGCGUACCGGCUCCACACUGACGCUGAGGCACGAAAGCGUGGGUAUCGAACAGGAGUAGAUACCCUUGUAGUC
rnacentral:rRNA from 1 species